CCCUUAGAUGUUCUGGGCCGCACGCGCGCUACACUGAUGCAUUCAACAAGCCUAGCCUUGACCGAGAGGUCCGGGUAAUCUUUGAAACUGCAUCGUGAUGGGGCUAGAUUAUUGCAAUUAUUAAUCUUCAACGAGGAAUGCCUAGUAAGCGUGAUUCAUCAAAUCGCGUUGAUUACGUCCCUGACCUUUGUACACACCGCCCGUCGCUCCUACCGAUUGAAUGUGUUGGUGAGGAGCUCGGAUUGGCAGCAGUUGGUGGUUCGCCACCGGCUAUUGCUGAGAAGUCCUCCAAACCGCCCCAUUUAGAGGAAGGAGAAGUCGUAACA
rnacentral:rRNA from 1 species